AAUGUUUACCUGUUGAUCCCUUUAAAUCGGUUUUAAAAGUCGGCCGCAAGUACAAGAAUCUUCUCAGUAGCAGUCGUAGUAGUAUCUUUACACUCGUUGAGGCGGUUUUAGUGAGGCAGGGACGUGGACGGCUUAUAUUGGUGGGAAAGAAUCAGCUGGGCAGCAGUGGAGGCAUCUGGCGGUGGAGGGUGGGACCAUCUUGACAACAAGAGGCUAUGGAGGCGCACAGACCUAUACUGUCGUGAGCUCUCCCUGCUUGGGUGAGCUACGUGCCGCAUUUGUAAUACGCGUAAGUGAAGCUCUAACAUACUUGAUGCCUUGCUAAUAGUCAUAUCAUAAUACAGCGGAUCUAAAAGUGAAUGAGGUCGAGUGUCAGACCCAUCCCCAGCUGGUGUGUUGGCCUGCCACCACCAGGAGUUUGGUCUACCCUAGUCAACAGAUUCUUCACAUUCUGCGCCCCUGUGUGUCGGCACUUACAGCGAUGUGAUGAGAAGUUUACAAUGAGAAAGAAACAGAUACUGCUCCUGAAGGUGGGCGUGGUAGUAUGGCUAUGUGCAGUAUAUGCUCUCUUCAUACAUAAACCUGCAUCUACCAGUGUUCAGAUUUCACAGAGCAUCAACCAACAGUUAGAUAAGCUUGAAGAAGAGUUAAAUGGCCAGUUGCAGUUUUAUAAUGGACUCCUAGAAAAGCUUCGAAUACUGGGGCAUCAGCAGGAUAUUAAUGGUGGCAGUGAUGCUGUGGCUGAUAGUCAAGGAGGGCAAAGGCCGUCAUCAGGGUCACCUCUAUAUAAUGGUCCAGUUCUUCCUGUGCUGCUAAUAGCUUGUAACCGUGAGUCUGCUGUACGGCGAUCACUUGACCUUCUUUUGAAAUACCGACCGAGUCAGGACCGUUUUCCAAUAAUUGUGUCACAAGACUGCGGUCACAGACCAACACGUGAAGCAAUUGAAUCAUAUGGGGACAAGAUCAUAUUAAUACAGCAGCCUGAUCUGAGUGACAUUGACGUGCCUUUGAAAGAGAGAAAAUUUAAGGGUUACUUCCUUAUUGCUCGACAUUAUAGAUGGGCACUUAAUCAGCUGUUCCAGAAAUUUAACCAUGAAGCCGUCAUUAUUGUGGAAGAUGAUUUAGAUGUUGCACCAGAUUUCUUUGAGUACUUCUCUGCAACUUAUCCUAUCCUGCAAUCUGACCCAACAUUGUGGUGUGUGUCUGCUUGGAAUGAUAAUGGAAAGGCAAAUUUAGUGGAUGUGAAGAAUGGGACCUCCAUUUUGUAUCGAACGGAUUUCUUCCCGGGCCUUGGCUGGAUGAUGACAAAGGAGUUAUGGGAUGAGCUUGGAGUUAAAUGGCCAAGAUCCUAUUGGGAUGACUGGGUAAGAGCCCCAGAGCAACGAGCAGACCGAGCAUGUAUCAGGCCUGAAGUGUCACGAACACGCACCUUUGGCAAAAAAGGUGUUAGCAAUGGCUUGUUUUAUGAGAAGCAUUUAAAGCAGAUACACCUAAAUGAUGCCUACGUACCAUUUUCCAAAAUGAAUCUUACUUACUUGCUGAAGGAGCAGUAUGAUCCAGUGUUUGAGCAGCAAGUUCAGUCCAGUCAGGUGGUGUCCAUCAUUGAUAUAAAAAGUGAUCGUUUAACUAAGGGUAACACUUACAGACUUAUAUAUCACACUAAAGAUAACUUCAAGAAGAUGACAAAAGCCCUUGGCCUUAUGGAUGACUUCAAGGCUGGAGUACCAAGAACUGGAUAUAAGGGUGUUAUUACAUUCUUCUACGGAGGCCUCAGAAUUUUUCUAUCUCCAAGUAAUAACUGGAAAGGAUACAACCCUUCCUGGAGCUAGCAGCAUCAUAUGAAGUAGACUCAAGUUAUCGGGGCACAUGGAGAAGUUUUGCGUUGGACUUUAGAGUGAGCUGCCGGGUGAUAAGUGGCAUAUCCACAAUUGAAAAAUGCCAGACUAUUGGUUGCAGAUGUACCAGUAUGCUGGACCAUUGAAAAGGUAGUGCUCCUACUAAUUACUACCAAGUACCUUCUUAUAUAUGAUAUAUUGAAAGGCCUGCACAUUUAUCCAGCACUAAUCAGAUACUGACUAAUCCAAGUUAGUACAUGUGUGAUUACCUCACCAGGUGUAUGUGGGGGAGCCAGUCCUGUUCUUGUCAAGACUUUUAAUUUAUCAUCAUUUGCUACAUUAAAAUUCAAAUCGGUCUAUAUUGAAGACAAAAUCUGUUUGAAAUGGAUAAAUUGUUGAAUUAAACUGGCAUGAUGCAUUUUGGAUGACUUUAUGUAGUGAGUGGUAUAGGAUUUUUAGAGAAGUGUUUCGGAGUUGAGGUUGUGUUGAGAUACUUGAGGUUGGCAAUAAUUCAUUAUGCAAAGUGUAUUCAGAGCUAUGAAGAGGUUUUUAAAUACUGGAGAGCAAAUGGAAGAGUAAUUGCAUGUUUUAGAUGUAUGGAAAAAGUGUUUUAAGCGUUGGAGAUGCAGUGAGACUGUUAUAAGUUGGAUGAUUUUAAAAUGUUAUAAGUAUAAAGAGAAGUCAGGUAACUGUACUUGGAGUUGGUUGAAAAAAAAAAAGGAAAACUGUUGGGGCAAGAUUAUGAUAGGUUUAAAAGGUGAUGAGGAAAUGUUGACAUUUUGCAGAUGUGACAAUGUACAGUACAGCAUUGGAGGAGGACACUUGGAAUGUAUUGUAGACACAUUCAAGUAGUGGUUGUAAAUUGCAUGAGCAUGUGGAUUAUUUCUGUUUUGGAGGAAUAUGAAAAAUAUUUGCUAUACUGUACCUGUAAUUGGAAGAGUACUGUAUUGGAGUAAUUUUGAUUUCUUGAAAAUGGAGGUAUAAAAAUGGUUGGAUGCAUUAAAUAUUAUAGAGUGAUAGGAAUACAGGUAUACCUUGCUAUAUGUUGUUUCAUGUUUAUACGUUAUUGAGGAAUUAGAGAAAAAUACAUAUUUUCCAAAAAUGAAAAAAAAUCAUUCGACAACAAGAGACUAUUUUGGGUAGCCUUAGAAUGCCGAAUAACCAUUGAAUUCAUCUGUUGCAUCCCCACCCUAACAUCAUUUUGUGCAUUAGUGCCACAUUUGCUUGAUCUUGUCUGUUUACAGUGAGUUAAACCUUACCCAAAUCCUGGAAAAUGUCUAGGAAGUCAUAUUUUUGCCUCUGGUAAGAAAAAAAAAGGGAAAUAUUUUAAUCUAAGUGUUAAAUUAGAUGUUUUAAGGUGCUUUAAAACUGCCAAAUGAGUAGUUGACAUCACCAGAGUGCUUGGCCCACCUGGCAUCUUCAGUGAUUCUGAUCCAAACAGAGAAGGUAUCUCUACAGAUAACAAGUUAAUAACCAAUGACAUUAAUUGCUACAGGGAGCUGUACAAACAAAAGAAGAGAGCUGUCCAGCUGUCCUUGGACCAAUAUUUUAGACGUUCAUCCUCAGAUGAAGAGGCAGACAAUCCUGCAGUUUCAUCUCUGUAAUUCUACCAUUGCCUACCCCAGAUGGCCUCUAUAGUGUAUGCAGUUUCUGUAACCAACUCGGGUAAAUGUUAUCUUAUUGACAUAUAUUUUAUAUCUAAAUAUUUAUUUUAAUUUAUAAUAAUAUAGUUGGGUAUCUAACUAAUUAAUAUUUUGGUGAGAAAAUUUUGGCCAGAAAUGUUCCCUCGGAACAUAACCCCGAUUUACAAUAUUGGGUUAAUGGUAAACUUUUAUUCACUGUGUUAUUUAACUUAAUGUCACACCUUUCUAGAAUGCAUGUGUGAUGUAUAGCGAGGUAUACCUGAACUGUAUGAGAAAUGUGCUGGAUUGCUUAAGGGUGAAGAAUGCAAUGGGUGCAUUUAAAGAAAACUUGAAGCCUACUUUCAUUUUGAGUACAGUACAGUACAAACAGGUAAAGUAGAAAGUGUAUUUUGUGUGAGAGCCAAAGUUGCAUUUGUUUGCAAAAGCUACUAUUCAGUUUUAUUUGAGUUAGAAAAUGGUAAUAUAUUAGGUAAUACUGUAUUAGCCAGCAGAUCUAAAGCUUGCAUUUUGCUAAACCCUGGAAAUGAGCUUUUUUUAAAUACCAGUACUGUAUACCAUACUUUAUUGUAUUGGUUCAUAAAGUAAUGUUAGACAGUGGAUUACCAGAAAUGAGAGAAGGUUGCCAGAUUCAUUGUGCACUAGAACCCUUUAGGUUCCUGUACAGUGCUGCAGUAUAGAAAUUUGGGUCAUGCAAACACUGAAAUACAGUGCAGUAUACUGGUAAGUGAGAAUAAUUACAUAACAUUUCCAAAGACACUUGAACCUACAGCAUGUUCUCUUCCUAAAUAUUAAUAUAAACACACAGUGCAGUACUGUACUGUCUUUUGUCACUGAAAAAAUAACUUAGAAAUAUGAGAAGAAUGCAAUUUAAAAUUAAAAAAAUUAAAGAAACAAGCAAAUUCAGCUCAUUGGAGAUGGUGGUGGACGGUCUAGUUGUGGUGGCAGUUGAUCCGGGUGUUUGGUGGGCAGACAGUUUUCUUAGUAUUUAGUUUGAAAUAUGCUCUUAUUUUUGUGCUAGCUGCAGCAUCUCCAGAAAGCUGCAUAGGGUGCUUAGGAAUUAUUAUAAAUCCCCCAGAAAUAAUACAUAAAAGGUACAAAUACAAGACUUAUUAUAGCAUGUGGUGCACCGAGUACAGGAACACAGUCAAGUAAUGCAAGAGAUGUGUGGUUACUGAUGCGGUUUCUACUUACCAGGCACAUUCAGGAUGGCAGACACGUCAGUAUACGCACCAUCCACAUUGAGUGACGAGUGAGCUAGCCUUGCUAACCAUGUUGUAUAAUGAUCCCCUUUGCAUGGUAGCUUUCUUUAUUGUGAUAGCCAGUUGUAUGUGUUGAUCAUCACACCUCACCCUCACCUGACAGUUGCAGGCUGCUCUUAUAAUGGGUCAUCUCUCCCUUUUAAAGUUUAAGAAGAAAAGUACAGUAGAUAGUGUAAAGGUUGCUCUCUGGAGGUAGAAGGUCUGGUUAAAGUUGAACUAUUUAGUUAAUACUUGUGCUACUGCUAUGGGCCACCAUCUUUGAUUUUUAGGCCAAUCCACCAUCUUGCUCCAGUCCCCACCCAGCCAACACUCCUGGAGAGCAAUAAUGCCUGCUUGACUCUUAACAAAAGCUAAGUGUCCACCCCAUUACAACACUUCAGGUAUAGUUAUCAGGAAUUAUACUAAGCAAAAAUUUAGUAUGAACUUAUGAUUGAAUUUUGUCUUUCUGAUAUAAUUUCAUAAGGGUGUUAACAAAAUGGCUUCCUCUCAGAGUCUGAGCUGUUGAAAUUGACUAGCAUCUUUGGACCUGAGGUAAUAAUGGACAGUACUUAGAGGGUGGAACGAGUAGUCUGUGGGUAGAUCUGGAUGUGUACUGGCUUCGGGAAAACAAUUAGAUGGCUAUGGUAUAGGGGUACUCGGCACAACCCCCAUGAGGAUUAAAUAUUGCAGCACAUAAAAUCCCCUUCCCAUGUAUACCAUAGAAAUUUUGUUUGUUUGUACUGUAUCUGCAACUUUCAUAGUUAAUCAUACAAAAACCCUUCAGAAGUUUUCAACCUAGCUUGUAAUAUGUUAGGGUUGGGUAAUAAGUGCAGUUUUGCUUGGGGUGAUCUUUGAAAUUCCCCGUCUUAUCCACUAAAUCUCAGGUACAUCCCACAGUUGUACAGCUACUGCAUAUCUAUGGGACAUAAUAUGACAAGGCAUCAUCAAGCAUUUUGCACCUGGAUAACAUGAACUUUGCCUGUGCUUUAGAAACAGCACUCAUUGAAUAUAACAAUCUUAUAAUUCAAUAUUACAGAGCCCUAUAAUUACACUCCUUAAUGUUGUGGCUGUGAAAACCCUUCCCUUUUGUUAUUUUUCUGGAUUAUAAUUAUGACCAAGGUUCUAAUUUAUUAUAUUUUUUUUUCCAAGUAAAUGGCAUUGUACUUAGUGAAAGUCAAGUCUUGGUGUAUUAUGUGGCCUGACUUUUAGGAUUCAAACUGGAGGUAGGGAAGUGGAGUGGUUAAUGUAAUAAGGAAAUCUGGCUAAUUAUGAAGGCUUGAUGUGUUGACACCAUUUUGAUAUUUCAUCUUGGCAAAACUUUUAUUUUUUUUAUUUGAGGUCUCCAGGUUUGUUUCUGUAUUAUAAUCUUAUGCCUUUUGAGACACAGGAAGACUUAAGGCCUAAUCCCCCCUUGCUUACUGCUCGCUAUAUUGUUUUCCACAAUUUUAUGUUUUGUAUGAUGUUUGGUUCUCUGAAGAGACUUACAGACCCUCACAACCCAGGCCCCUCAUUGGCUGUGCACAUGACUUCACGUCAUUGCUCACCACUGACUGGCUGUGCUUGUUGUUAAUAUGCCAGUACGGUAUUCCCCCAGCCUAGGGAGCUAUCGCGUGCAAGGGCGAAAUUCCUAUAUUUUUCCAAGGCAUAUCUACCUUCCAAAACAUAUCUAGUUUUAUAGAGAUUCCUCUGGCAAAACAUUGAAAUAAUGAUCUUCUUUUUCCAUGGUUGGUCAGUAAGUUGCUCUUCCACCGAGUACCUCAUAUGAAUUACUGGGUAGGUAGGUAGGUUGGUUCUUGUUAGACUUCUUUUUUCCAGAGGGUAACCUUUGCAUGUACUGUAAUCCCUUUGUUUUGAAGGUGAUGGUUGUGAUAGAGAGGAAUGGGUAAUUGAUUGUAAGAUAAGCUAGACCCUGACAAUUGCUUAGCACACAGUCAGCGAGAGAAUUGGAAUCUAGGAUCAUUCCACCAUUUAUAUGCUUGUUAUAGAAAUAUUCCAUUCUCUGGUACAAAUUUCUAAUAUACCCGGUAUAUACUGUAAAGUGUAAGCUGACUAAUGCUCCUUAUCAAGAAAUUAUAUACAGAAGUUUAGCAUUGUGUUAUACUUUACAUUGUUUGUUUCACUCUACUACAGUUAGGAUCUUCAUUUUGAGAUAUAGUUUGCUCAGUAAUUCUAAAAAGUACUUGUUUGACUCUGUAGUUGACCAUGUAAUGUCAUGAUUAUCAGUUGUUAUCUGCUUUUUAUUUCAUAUUGUGUAGUAAAUAUAACAACUUCAUUUGUUGGUAUUUCUUUACUGUAUCAGAAGGAGUCAAACUACCUUCAAGCAGUGUUUCCAAUAAUUAACUCAUUUAAAAGAAACCAAACCUCUCCAAGGAUGAUGUGUCAAGUGUUUCUCCGGAUGUAAUAGACAGCGUUUUUUUUACUGUCAUUCAAAGACAUAAAGAUUACUGUAUAAAAAUGAGCAGGUUGCAUUAGUUAAAAAGAAAAUAAUUCUUUUAUAGAUGAAAAUAUUAACCUGAAUACUUAGGACUUAUUUUGGAGAUGGAUUUUGUGUAAGAAUAAUCGUCACAUAUAUUUUCUUGGUGUACAGUAUAUAACAGAUAUUAUGAGAGAUUUAUUGUUUCAUGUAAUAUAUUCCUACAGUGAUAAUAUAAUACAGUAGCAGUUGUUACAUGAUAUUUUUUGUUGGUAACUGGGAAAGCAGGUUUUUAAAUAGUUGCACAGCAGAUUUUCUUUCACAGAUCUUCAACAUACCUCCUGAUUAAUAUGGAAACUUUUACUUUAGCUUUAAAGAAAGGUGAUGCAGAAAGUGUUGUGCAAAUCUUACUAAGCUGCUUAAUCAGGUAUUAUUUCUUGCACUAUCUCAGUUUAAAAUUAUUCAGUUAGCUCUGACCAUUGGAUAAAAGCCACAUUUAAUUUUGUUCAUUAGUCGGAAAAUAAAAUUAUUGUAUGUUAUUUUAUAACCAUGUUGCACAUGUUAGGCAAAAAAAUAUGUGAAAAGGACACUGCCUUAAAAUAGAAGUGGGGCACAGUUCAAUGGCUGAUUGUUUAUUUAUUUUUUCCAAGGGACAUCACAGGCAGUUAGAGGGUAAUGGUAAUUAUUAUGACCAUUAAAUUCCAAUCCUAUUAUUUACAUGACCCUUCUAAUUAUAUAUUCUAUAUACUCUGACUUCAGAGCCAUUUGGCAAUAAUAAUUUUAGUUAAUCACUUACAUUUUGUUUUUUCUUUUUGCAUAAAUAUAUAACUAGAACUGCACAUAUGAGCCGUUGCAAACAUUAAAUGUGACCUUGACAUGUAUGUCGAAAUCCAUUUUCUGUAGUAACUAUUAUUUCCAGUCUGUAGAGGAGAGUUAACGUUAUCACAAGAUGCGAGGCUGUCAUCAGUAUUGGAAAAAUUUGACAUAUUUGAAGGGGUGUAUAUUUGGUGAGUGCUGGAGCCACAUGUUAUGCUCAUUGGCCCAGCCACCUGCUCGGGUUGUCGCUGAUAUUUGCCCAGCCAACAGCAAUAUUUAGCCCUUCAAAUAAGUCUAAUUUCCCUUAUACCACCUUGGCAAUUUGUGAUAACGUUAACUCCUCUACAGACUGGAGAUAAUUGUUACUACCGAAAAUGGAUUUCCACAUACAUGUCGAGGUCACAUGUGUCAAAGUCGUAACUAAUGUCCGCUACACCUCAUAUACAGGAUAACAUGAAUAACAAAUUUUAGAAUACCGGUACAUCUGUAUUUUCAUUAUAAUUGUUAUGUUUUUAUAUUACUAGAGUAGUAGUAUUAAUUUCAGGAGGAGUAUUAUUAUUACUUUCUCUGUUACUCAAGGAAAAUUUGCUGUUGAUAAGUAAAUUAUGUUCAUGAGAUCUGAACUUAGUUAUUUACUAAUGCUGAGAGCUUUUGCCAUCAAACUUUAUGAUGAGUUUCAUGAUGUUUAACCCUGGAAGCUCAUGAUUUUAGAUUGAGAUCAGUCAGAGAUCAAUUGCAAGAUAUAAUUCUUGUUGACCAUUGAGGUUGGUAUAUCAUUGAAGAGGAUUAUUGCUCUAGCGAUUUAACACCAUGUAUUUGUCUUCAUAUUUUCUUUUGAGAUUCCUGAGGGUAGUCCAUAUUAGUUUUGCUUUCAACCAAAAUUUUCAGUUUGUUUAUAAUAGCAACAUGAAAUGGCAAGGCUCCCCUGCAUGGGGUGGAUUAAGACCAGUAUACAACAUCUUUAACUUUGGCAGAUUAAUCAACUAGUUUCAUUUAUCAAAUUCAGUCUGCUAAGUUAAAUGAAAUACACAAAAGUUAUUUACAAAUUUAAGGUAUGCCAAGUUGAUGGGGAAUUGUUAUUGCCUUGAUGUCACCCCAGAGUGAAUAAACAUCCAUGAGAGCAUAGAUUUCCACACUAAAAAUAAAUAACUACAACUUUAAAUCCUGAUAAUAAUUAUCAGCAACAUCAUAUCUGAAGAUGUUCUGGAUAUUUUUUCAUGAAAUUAGGUUUGGAACUUGUCUGUGCCGUAUUAGUUAUUUAAAGAAAUACUACUGGCUGUUCAUUAUUGCCAUAUACAGGUGUAUAUAUAUUUUAUUAUUUUUUUUCUUAAGCAGCAUAAUGCCUAAAAAAAAUUUAAAGUACAGUACUAAAUGGAUGGAUUUUAGGUAUAUAUUCUAACUUGUGAAAGCUAAGGGUAAUGUAACAUGUUUUCACAUGGUAAAAUUCUGAUACCUUUUUUGCUUUGUUUGCAUGAACAUUUUAUAUUAACAAGAAUGUGCCAAAUUUACUUAAGAAUGUACACAAAAUGCAUAUUGACUUGAAAGAUCAGUGUUCUGUAUCCUGAAAUCUUUAAAAAUGUCGAGUAUCAGUACCAUAGAGGACUAUAAUAGUGUUGUAUGUAAACCAGGACUUGACAUAAUUUUGGGGAGUUUUGAGCAGAUACUUGGACUUCAUUUAACAAAGGUGUGUGACUUUUUUUCACUUGUAUAUUCCACUCUAUGCUAGUAGAAAAUAAUAUUAACAAAUGCAUAACUGAAUUUUAAGACAUUAUUCCUGAUAUUAUAUAUUUUUUUGUAACAGCCUUGACAUUAUUAUAUACACUUAUUACUUGAGGUUGAUACAGGUAUAUUUAGCUUAAGUCUGGGAUCAGGGAUAUUGAUAGUUUGAAAGGUUGAGACAAAUUGCACAGUGUGUUCUGGUUUGUUUUGCUGCAAAACAUUCUCCUGAUAUCUAGGAGAAUGGUAAUGAAUCACAGAUAAACAGAUGCCUUGGCAUUGCCAUAAGUUUAAUGAAUAUACUCCUGCAAAAUUAAUGGGAUAAAUAUCUUCAGAGUAUCUUUAUGAGAUUGACAUUGAAUCUCAAAUUAGUUAAGACAUUGAAUAAGAAUACUAACUAAGAAAGUUAAGCUCCCUUAGCACUUAAUGCUAAAGUUUUAUGAAGAUGCUUUCAGUGUUUAUUAAAAAAAAUAAAUAAAAAAAUCAAAGGCACCUGCUGACCUUUGCGAUCUACUCUCAAUUCUUGUAAGAAAGAUAGAGGUGAUCAGAGGAUUAUCAAACUAGAGAAUCCUGUGUUCAUCUCAGAAGAACCUUGUAGUAACUAGACUCAGCAUUACCAAUUACAGCAAGAGGACUAUAUGUCUGGAUGAUUUUUCAUUUAUUGAUCCUGCUUACAAGAACUUAUAUCUAGAGGGAUGAUCAAAAUUGCAAAGAUGAUUACUAGGAAGUUUUUCCAAAGUGAACCCAGGUGUGGAAUUCAGCAUGUGUUGCAAUACCAGACUUGUGUGCUUGCAAAUGUGAACAGUGAAAAGAAAUUGAAGCACAAUAUACUCACGAAAAGUAAGUUACAUAAUACUGUACUCAUGUAUUAGGAAAAAUGUCUCAUAUGAAUAAUGUGUUUUGGGGUGAGGGUGUGUGUGUGUAUUUUGGCAGGUAUUACUUUCUUUUUUUUGCACAGACUUAAGGACUUGGUGUUGGUGUGUGGGGCCACAUUUUUAACCUUUGGCAAAAGAUCUGAAGCUUCUUGGAAGCUCUUUACACUUUGUAAAUAAAAUGUUUCUGUGACCCCAUUGUUCAGGGUGGAUAGAAACAGAACCCUUUUAAGUGUUGCUUCUCCAUGCUUAAAAUACAUGUAGGAGGUAAACUUUCAUUAAUCUUUGUAGUUUAUUACUCUGUCCUAUUACUACUGAAUCUUGCAGAGAUGUUUCACUUUAAUAUGAAUGUCUUUGUAUGUGUAAAUUCCCCUUGGAUGAAUCGAGUGAUUUUGCAUUUUUGAUAGUAAAGGGACGACUUUUCAUUGUCCACAACAGUGCAUUUCAAGCAGUUGAUACACAAACAUUUUUUAUAGCAACUCAUCAACAGGUGUAUACUUAUUUGCUGACUUUGUCAGUUAUACAUGUUUUUCUGUUAAAGGUAAAUGGAUCAUGUUAUUUGCAUCAGGUCAAAAGCAAAUGCAUUUUUUUUAUAUGGAAUUUGUGUAUUCUGAUAAGUAUCAUUCCUAUUUUAAUCUCAGUACUGUAUAGUGUAAUUCAUUCAUUCAUGCAUUAUUUCAAAUGUCAUAAAUACCACAAUAAAAUAAAUUGUUAACGUUA
rnacentral:misc_RNA from 1 species